UUAUUUACCAAUCAAAACCAACCGAGGGUA
rnacentral:piRNA from 1 species